CCUACGGGAGGCAGCAGUGGGGAAUUUUGGACAAUGGGCGAAAGCCUGAUCCAGCCAUGCCGCGUGCAGGAUGAAGGCCUUCGGGUUGUAAACUGUUUUUGUACGGAACGAAAAGCCUCUUUCUAAUAAAGAGGGGUCAUGACGGUACCGUAAGAAUAAGCACCGGCUAACUACGUGCCAGCAGCCGCGGUAAUACGUAGGGUGCGAGCGUUAAUCGGAAUUACUGGGCGUAAAGCGUGCGCAGGCGGUUAUAUAAGACAGUUGUGAAAUCCCCGGGCUCAACCUGGGAACUGCAUCUGUGACUGUAUAGCUAGAGUACGGUAGAGGGGGAUGGAAUUCCGCGUGUAGCAGUGAAAUGCGUAGAUAUGCGGAGGAACACCGAUGGCGAAGGCAAUCCCCUGGACCUGUACUGACGCUCAUGCACGAAAGCGUGGGGAGCAAACAGGAUUAGAUACCCUGGUAGUCCACGCCCUAAACGAUGUCAACUGGUUGUUGGGAAUUCACUUUCUCAGUAACGAAGCUAACGCGUGAAGUUGACCGCCUGGGGAGUACGGCCGCAAGGUUGAAACUCAAGGAAUUGACGG
rnacentral:rRNA from 1 species